rnacentral:rRNA from 1 species
AGCCCUUGACAUGGUCGGACGGUUUCCAGAGAUGGAUUCCUUCACUUCGGUGACUGACACACAGGUGCUGCAUGGCUGUCGUCAGCUCGUGUCGUGAGAUGUUGGGUUAAGUCCCGCAACGAGCGCAACCCUCGCCUUUAGUUGCCAUCAUUUAGUUGGGCACUCUAGAGGGACUGCCGGUGAUAAGCCGGAGGAAGGUGGGGAUGACGUCAAGUCUUCAUGGCCCUUACGGGCUGGG